GCUCCAAUAGCGUAUAUUAAAGUUGCUGCGGUUAAAACGCUCGUAGUUGAAUUGUGGUCUUAGACAACAGUCCCCCUAUAUAGGUGUGGCACGGUUGCUCGAGAUCUUCAUUCGUGGUUGCUGUUGUUGCUCUUCAUUGAGUGUCAAUGGUGCCUCGAGAUUUUACUUUGAAAAAAUUAGAGUGCUCAAAGCAGGUUGUGAUGCCUGAAUAAUGGUGCAUGGAAUAAUAGAAUACGAUCUCGGUUCUAUUUUGUUGGUUUUCGAACCGGAGAUAAUGAUUGAAAGGAACAGACGGGGGCAUUCGUAUUGCUGCGUUAGAGGUGAAAUUCUUGGAUCGCAGCAAGAUGAACAAUUAAGGCGAUCAGAUACCGCCCUAGUUCUAACGGUAAACUAUGCCAACCAGCGAUUCGCCGAAGUUCAUUUAAGACUCGGCGAGCAGCUUCCGGGAAACCAAAGUGUUUCGGUUCCGGGGGAAGUAUGGUUGCAAAGCUGAAACUUAAAGGAAUUGACGGAAGGGCACCACCAGGAGUGGAGCCUGCGGCUUAAUUUGACCCAACACGGGAAAACUCACCCGGCCCGGACACUGAAAGGAUUGACAGAUUGACAGCUCUUUCUUGAUUCAGUGGGUAGUGGUGCAUGGCCGUUCUUAGUUGGUGGAGCGAUUUGUCUGGUUAAUUCCGAUAACGAACGAGACUCUACCCUAUUAAAUAGUGACAGUAUUGCAUAUUCUGUGCUGAUCACUUCUUAGAGGGACUGGCAAAUUGAAAGCUGCACGAAAAAGAGCAAUAACAGGUCUGUGAUGCCCUUCGAUGUCCGGGGCUGCACGCGCGCUACAAUGAAAGCGUCAACGUGAGUUACGUCCUUACCUGAAAAGGUUUGGCAAUCGAUUGAAACGUUUUCUUGAAUGGAAUAGGGAAUUGCAAUUGUUUCCCUUGAACGAGGAAUUCCCAGUAAGCGUGAGUCAUUAGCUCGCGUUGAUUACGUCCCUGCCCUUUGUACACACCGCCCGUCGCUACUACCGAUUGGAUGAUUUAGUGAGGUGUUUUGACUAGCGCCUGUAGUCGGAUGUAUAUUCGGCUUCGCGCCGGGAAAUUUCCCAAACCAAAUCAUCUAGAGGAAGUAAAAGUCGUAACAAGGUUUCCGUAGGUGAACCUGCGGAAG
rnacentral:rRNA from 1 species